rnacentral:lncRNA from 1 species
GGAGGACUUGGCCUGUACGGUAAGUCAAGCAAAGAAAUAAAAGGCAUACAAUUUGGAAAUAAACUGUCUUAUUUGUAGUUGAUAAAUCAUGAAUACAGAAAAUUCUAAAACAUCUACCUAAAAGGUUUUUAGAAGUUUUUAGAAUUACUAGAUACACUUAUGUAUGCAAAACAAUGUACAAAAAUCAACUGUCUUUUUAUGUACUAGCAAUAGCAAUUGUAAAUGUAAUGCAAAAACACCACUGACAAUGAUGUCAACUGUCAGGCCUCUGAGCCCAAGCUAAGCCAUCAUAUCCCCUGUGACCUGCACCUAUACAUCCAGAUGGCCUGAAGUAACUGAAGAAUCACAAAAGAAGGGAUAUUUAAAUGGUCUGUUCCUGCCUUCACUGAUGACAUUCCACCACAAAAGAAGUGAAAAUGGCCGGUCCUUGCCUUAACUGAUGACAUUACCUUGUGAAAUUCCUUCUCCUGGCUCAUCCUGGCUCAAAAAGCUCCCCAACUGAGCACCUUGUGACCCCCACUCCUGCCCGCCUGAGAACAACUCCCCCCUUUGACUGUAAUUUUCCUUUACCUACCUAAAUCCUAUAAAACGACCCCACCCAUAUCUCCUUUGGCUGACUCUCUUUUCAGACUCAGCCCGCCUGAACCCAGGUGAAAUAAACAGCCUUG